CAAUCCUUCCACCAUCACAAUCACCAACAAAUACCCUUUUCAAAGUCACAAAUGUAGUUUAUUCAUCAGUAACUGAAUCCAAAAAGUGAAUGUCCCACAGUCACAAUGCUGAAGAAUAGGGCUACCUACUUUUGAAAAGGGCUUUUAUGUGUUUGACAAUAAUUAAAAGUAUUCGACUUGGAGUUUAUUUCCCCCCCAAAAAAAUCAGAACGUACACUGAGAAAAUAAGUUAUGAGGUAUGUCAACAACAAAACUAUUCUGAGAGGGUGGGGUUUGUUAUGCUUGUGCCGUGGCAACUACCAAUGAGAGGAGCGUAUUUGAAAUACGUCAUGGAGCGCCACCUUCGAAAUGUCCUAUUUGACUUGAACUCAGCUGAUCGUUACUGAACUACCUGGAUCUCAAGCCUUGCCUACUUUUUACACGACUGUGGCUAAUAAGAUUUAAAGAAAAGAGAAAAUGAGCUCUGGAAAAGCACUGCAGUCGGUGUCUCCUCACUACAACCAACAGCCACCGACACCAAGCCUGGCGAAAAGAAAGACAAUUCAAGAGAAGUCUGCAAUAAGGAGUCCAACAGACAAUGUGAUGUCCCCAUGUACAAGACAGCUCAUGAAGAAAGCUAUCAAGGACAUACCGUCAUCUCCCAGACCCAGACGGGAAGCAAAAGAGAACACUGCAAAUAAAUGAAUUACCUUUUUAUGUACAGUGUGAUGUCUUUACGGUAUUCCUCUCUCUGCUAAGAUGGGCAGAUAAAUUAAUCAUUGACAUUUUCCUGACAUUCUACCGUCUUUUUAAUAUGUUCUUACUAACCAAGCUGCUCACACUUUAUUGAUCCAUUAUGCAAUGUGGUGUAUAUGGGGGGGGGUUAUAUUCUUCAUUUAUAUGGGGGUUAUAUUCUUCAUUAAUAUGGGGCUGUUAUAUUCUUCAUUAAUAUGGUGUAUACGGGGGGGUUAUUCGUCAUUAAUAUGGUGUAUACGGGGGGUUAUUCUUCAUUAAUAUGGUGUAUACGGGGGGUUGUUCUUCAUUAAUAUGGGGGGGGUUAUAUUCUUCAUUUAUAUGGGGGGGGUUAUAUUCUUCAUUAAUAUGGUGUAUACGGGGGGUUAUAUUCUUCAUUAAUAUGGUGUAUACGGGGGGUUAUAUUCUUCAUUAAUAUGGUGUAUACGGGGGGUUAUAUUCUUCAUUAAUAUGGUGUAUACGGGGGGGGUUGUUAUAUUCUUCAUUAAUAUGGUGUAUGCGGGGGGGGGUGUUAUAUUCUUCAUCUAAAUCGCACUGUUUGUGUUAAUCAUUGGUUUUCUUGUGAAUGUAUAAUGCUAUUUGCACUUUAGAGGACAUGUGCUGUUCAUUGUACACUGCUUUAAGUGGUGGGGGUGUUAUAAUCUCAAACAAGUGUUCUGUAUAUAUGCCCUUUGCACAGGUAGACUUCCAUGGUUUAAAAAAAGUAGACUACUUUAUAUUCUGUUUGUACAUUGGCUUUAUGUUGCUCAGUUUUCAAUAUGUAACUAGCAAAAAAGGACUUGGCUCACUGCUUUCAAUAAACAUAUUUGAAAUGGAAGAGAUCACUUGUGUGACUGAGUCAUCAGGAAUGUAUGAAAAUUCCUGUCUUAACGUUUGUUUGUUUUUUCAAUUUGAAGGUGAUAUUCAAGAGGUUUGUUGUGACCGUAACUAGUGUUGGAUAAGGCUAGUGACGCUCUGUGUUUG
rnacentral:lncRNA from 1 species